ACAUGCAAGUCGAGGGUAGUUGGUUUCGGACCAAGAGACCGGCGCACGGGUGCGUAACGCGUAUGCAAUCUACCUUUGCAGAGGGAGUAGCCCAGAGAAAUUUGGAUUAAUACCUCAUAGUAUAGUACUUUGGCAUCAAGGAACUAUUAAAGUCACAACGGCAAAAGAUGAGCAUGCGUCCCAUUAGCUAGUUGGUAAGGUAACGGCUUACCAAGGCUACGAUGGGUAGGGGUCCUGAGAGGGAGAUCCCCCACACUGGUACUGAGACACGGACCAGACUCCUACGGGAGGCAGCAGUGAGGAAUAUUGGACAAUGGGCGCAAGCCUGAUCCAGCCAUGCCGCGUGCAGGAAGACGGUCCUAUGGAUUGUAAACUGCUUUUAUACAGGAAGAAACCCUCCCACGUGUGGGAGCUUGACGGUACUGUAGGAAUAAGGAUCGGCUAACUCCGUG
rnacentral:rRNA from 1 species